UACGUAGGGUGCAAGCGUUGUCCGGAAUUAUUGGGCGUAAAGAGCUCGUAGGCGGUCUGUCGCGUCGGCUGUGAAAACCUGGGGCUCAACUCCGGGCCUGCAGCCGAUACGGGCAGACUAGAAUUCGGUAGGGGAGACUGGAAUUCCUGGUGUAGCGGUGAAAUGCGCAGAUAUCAGGAAGAACACCGGUGGCGAAGGCGGGUUGCUGGGCUGACACUGACGCUGAUGCGCGAAAGCUAGGGGAGCGAACGGG
rnacentral:rRNA from 1 species